rnacentral:lncRNA from 1 species
CUCUAACUAACCUGACUUGUUUUGGCUACCAUGCAACACUCGGUGAGCCGAAACCCCUAUCUCCUUCUUUCUUUCUUUGGUGAUUCCCUCUUCCUUUUUCCUUGUGUUUCCCUAUUGUUGCCUUCCUUGCGCAAUAGCUUGCAGGCCUCUUCUCGAGUGCCACCACCAUCUUGGCACUAGACACUCCUACUUAGACACUAGCCACACAC